rnacentral:pre_miRNA from 1 species
CCGCCCCCGUCUCCACCCCGCCCCCCGGAGCCGCUGAGUGGCGGCAGCGGCCCCAGGACCGGGUUUCCUCAGACAAGAGGGCGGGUGGAGGAGGAAGCGG